AAUAAAAAAAAAAAAAAAAAAAAAAAAAAGAGGUUUCUGAGUUUUCUCUCAGUUUUGGGGAGGGGUAGGUUAACAACAUUGGAAAUUUGUUCAGGGGCGAUUUGCCGCUUUCCCUCACU
rnacentral:lncRNA from 1 species